CUCAUGCAGUCCACCUGCCUUGGCCUCCCAAAGUGCUGAGAUUACAGGCAUGAGCCCCCCUGCCUGGCCCAGCCUUUCUCCUUAAUUCUGGUAGCUAGAGCAUGGACUGUAACAUGAGUACAGUUACUUUAUCUACAGAGACAUUGUAAGUUCAGAGGCGUGAGAGUUAGCAUCCAGAGGCUGCAGACAUCAGCAGCACAGCUGUCUCUCCCACAGGAUCAUUGUCAGCAGAACAUCCUACACCAAUGGCUCUUUGGGCAGGACCUUGGCUGUGCUUUGUCUGUCUAGCUUCCUGCCCAAGUUUGGUGUCUCUCCCCAGAUCACUCUCCAGUAAACCUUUUGCGUGAAACUGGUUAUCUCAGAAACUGUUUUUAAGACAAAGAUUGAAGUCCAAAAUAAACUAUCAAAGAACUUGUGUGGAUUAGCUUGCUAUAUACAUCCAAGAUUUGAAGAACUGAAAAAAAAAAAAAUCAGUAUUAAACCUGCUUUUUAAAAAGGUAAGUGAAGUAACUUCUGGUCAUGGUUCAUUUCAGACCUCUCUAAAGCCUGCAAUUUCCCCUAGAGUAUGUGAAUUUUUUUCCAGAAGUAGGAUUACUUGACUCUAGUGAGUCUACUAAUUAAGUCUAGGAGUGUUUGUAUCCACUCCCCUUUUUAAAACCUGUAAAUUCUAAGAGUAGCAUGAAUAACAGGUGGCUGUAGGAUUUAGACGUGGUGUGGCAGGCGAUGAGCAAAUCUUCAUUUGGCACUGAGAAGGAAAACACACACCUUGUAGCACAUAAAAUAAAAAGCAUAGCCCUCUUCUCGAGUCCUUCAGCACUCUCCACCUCACAGACCAUUUCACCACCUUAUCUACACCAGUGAGAAUUGCUGUUUGACCUAUUAAUGACCCAGUAGGCUUAGAAUAUGAGGUGUUGGUUUCUCACAACCAUGUUUACCCACUUUCUCCCUAUUUCUCUUUCUCAGUAAUAAUAACUACUAUUUAUUGAGCUUCUACCAAGUGACAAGCAUUUGAUUAAUUCGAUUCCAUAUUCAUUUUACAAAUAGUGUUUCUGAAUGCUUGCCAUGUGCCAGGCAUGGCCCUGACACUACUUAUUACCUUAUCCUCAUGGCACCCUUUCAGGGUAGGAGUUAACACUUCAGUGAUCUGGAUGAGAAUACAAGAGAGGUAAGGAGCGUGCUGAUGGUCACCUAGCCAGUGAAUGUGAACUGUCUGACUUUCUCUAAUUUGCCAUAUCCUAAAGCGUGUUUAGAUGCUCUUCCUGGCAUGGAUGUCAAUAAAAGAUUGGAAACUCCUGGAUUGCGUUCAUAAGAGUAAUGUGUUCCUCAUCCUUCUAAACCUUGGCUGGAGUCACAGAAAGCAAGGAAGUUAGAGGAACAUCCUGUUACACAGCUUUGGUACCUGUGUGGGGAGCUAAGAGAUCUGAUGUCCAGUUCCAGUCCUUUCAUGAAUUUCCUCUGUGUCCAUGAGCUACCUAACAUCCAUGGGAAACAGUUGGUCUUAUGCCAACCAAAGAGCAUGGACCAGAUGCUCUCAAGGGUCCGUCUCAGUCAGCUCUUUGCUGAGGGACCUUAUGCAUGGAGGAAAGUGAAUACGUCGCUAAGUGGAUAGCUUGAUGGAAUGGUUGUUACAAAGUGGACACACUUCUGCAAUCAGCACCUUGAUUAAUAGAAAAUUACCAGCACCCCAGAGCCCUCCCCAACUCAUGCUCCAGGAGCAACCAAUAUCCUGCCUUGUGAUGCCUUUGUUUAGUUUGUUUUUAUGAAUAGAAUCAUAUAGUG